rnacentral:rRNA from 1 species
AGAGUUUGAUCAUGGCUCAGGAUGAACGCUAGCGGCAGGCUUAAUACAUGCAAGUCGAGGGGCAGCACGAGUAGCAAUACUUGGUGGCGACCGGCAAACGGGUGCGGAACACGUACGCAACUUUCCCAAAACUGGUGAAUAGCCUUCCGAAAGGGAGAUUAAUACACCGUAAGAUAAUGGAGUGGCAUCACUUUAUUAUUAUAGCUCCGGCGGUUUUGGAUGGGCGUGCGGCUGAUUAGGUAGUUGGCGGGGUAACGGCCCACCAAGCCUGCGAUCAGUAACUGGUGUGAGAGCACGACCAGUCACACGGGCACUGAGACACGGGCCCGACUCCUACGGGAGGCAGCAGUAAGGAAUAUUGGUCAAUGGACGCAAGUCUGAACCAGCCAUGCCGCGUGCAGGAUGAAGGCCCUCUGGGUUGUAAACUGCUUUUAUAGGGGACGAAAAAAGGGCUUUCUAGCUCGUCUGACGGUACCCUAGGAAUAAGCACCGGCUAACUCCGUGCCAGCAGCCGCGGUAAUACGGAGGGUGCAAGCGUUAUCCGGAUUUACUGGGUUUAAAGGGUGCGUAGGUGGGUCGGUAAGUCAGCGGUGAAAUCUUCGAGCUUAACUCGGAAACUGCCAUUUGAUACUAUCGAUCUUGAAUCAUCUAGAGGUAAGCGGAAUAUGUCAU